rnacentral:rRNA from 1 species
UACGGAGGUUGCAAGCGUUAUCCGGAUUUAUUGGGUUUAAAGGGUGCGUAGGCGGUUUGGUAAGUCAGUGGUGAAAGUUUGCAGCUUAACUGUAAAAUUGCCAUUGAUACUGUCAGACUUGAGUACUGGAGAGUAAAGUGGAAUUCCUAGUGUAGCGGUGAAAUGCGUAGAUAUUAGGAGGAACACCAGUGGCGAAGGCGGCUUCCUGGUCUGUAACUGACACUGAGGCGCGAAAGCGUGGGGAGCAAACAGGAUUAGAUACCCUGGUAGUCCCU